AAAAGUUGUGCCCCAUCGCUUCUAAAUGUUUUUUUUUUUUUUUUGCCCAAUGUUGUAGAGCAAGAGAAGCUUCCAAUCCUUCCAUGGAAUUUGAUCAAGCCCUAUCCAGUGAGCCGUGUGGAAAUUGGUUAUAGCCAUCCUAUGUAAGGUGAUAGCAAUGUAGGCGCCAAUCCUUUGGAAGCAACAUAAGCGAGUGUGAGAGAAACGAUUCAGAGUUCUUGCAACUUGAAGGCCCGUGAUAGUCUAAACUAACUAAAUAAUCUAUUUACGGGGAGGGAGAUUCGAAUUUGGGUGUAAGGG
rnacentral:lncRNA from 1 species